GACGAACGCUGGCGGCGUGCCUAACACAUGCAAGUCGAGCGGAGAUAGACUGAUGGUAACUGAAGCUUAUCUUAGCGACGGACGGGUGAGUAACACGUGGGCAACCUGCCUUGGAGUGGGGGAUAACACCGGGAAAUCGGUGCUAAUACCGCAUAACAUACACAUACUGCAUGGUGAGUGUAUCAAAGGAGCAAUCCGCUUUAAGAUGGGCCCGCGGCUGAUUAGCUAGUUGGUAAGGUAACGGCUUACCAAGGCGACGAUCAGUAGCCGACCUGAGAGGGUGACCGGCCACACUGGAACUGAGACACGGUCCAGACUCCUACGGGAGGCAGCAGUGGGGAAUAUUGCGCAAUGGGGGAAACCCUGACGCAGCAACGCCGCGUGGAGGAAGAAGGUCUUCGGAUUGUAAACUCCUGUCUUCUGGGACGAAGUAUGACGGUACCAGAGGAGGAAGCCACGGCUAACUACGUG
rnacentral:rRNA from 1 species